rnacentral:rRNA from 1 species
GACGAACGCUGGCGGCACGCUUAACACAUGCAAGUCGAACGGAGAUAAUUUGAGUUUACUUAGAUUAUCUUAGUGGCGGACGGGUGAGUAACACGUGAGCAACCUACCUUUGAGAGAGGGAUAGCUUCUGGAAACGGAUGGUAAUACCUCAUAACGUAGUUUUACCGCAUGAUAGGACUACCAAAGAUUUAUCACUCAAAGAUGGGCUCGCGUCUGAUUAGCUAGAUGGUGAGGUAACGGCUCACCAUGGCGACGAUCAGUAGCCGGACUGAGAGGUUGAACGGCCACAUUGGGACUGAGACACGGCCCAGACUCCUACGGGAGGCAGCAGUGGGGGAAUAUUGCACAAUGGGGGAAACCCUGAUGCAGCGAUGCCGCGUGGAGGAAGAAGGUUUUCGGAGUUGUAAACUCCUGUCUUAAAGGACGAUAAUGACGGUACUUUAGGAGGAAGCUCCGGCUAACUACGUGCCAGCAGCCGCGGUAAACGUGUAGUCGU